GCCGGGAUAGCUCAGCUGGGAGAGCAACAGACUGAAGUCGUUCUUGUGGUUCGCAGAACAGCCUUCUGGAGGUCCCGUGUUCAAUCCACGGUCCUGGCA